CCGUCACAACGGCUUCCUGGCGUGACGGCAACACCCUAAUGGAGCA
rnacentral:ncRNA from 1 species